GUCGGAUUAAAACCUUUCUUUCUGGGCCCGGAGCUCCUCCCUUUUAUACUUACCGCAGCCUCCAAAUGGACAAAGCUCAAGGAGCAGCCGUACUGAUGCCCACUGCUUAUGCAAAAAGUGCGGUUGAGACACCCUAUGGUUUGGUUGUAAAAAACCUUUACACGGAGAGGGGUGGAGGGGUGCUCGGAGAGCGGAGUACCUUAAUACUUCGAGGACACUGUUGCCAGAUGACUCCAGAGCGGAUAACAGUUACUGAGGCACAAUUUAACUUGAUCAGAUUUAUUAUAACACUGGACUGGAAAGAAAGGUCGUCUUUGGAUCCGGUUCUGGAUCCGGAUCCAUUCCCUGAGUAAGAGAGGUGUGUGAGUAGGACUGACUGGAGGAGAAUUAGAAUCGUGGAUAAACGGAGAACGUUUCUGUUCUGUUUUUCUGAGUUUUUCGGGAGUAAAGGGGAGUCACGCCGCGGGGACUGGGGUUCUCUGUUUUUACCCAGUUGGUGAUUCGAGUUGGCUCUCGGUCUGGCAAGCACAGUAAAGCGCUUGGAACCAAACACGGACUUGGACCAGGACCACGGGCCGGGAAUCCAGAUCAAGUUCUGCAGGGGGGUUAAACUCAGGUAAGAAGCAAGGUCGAGGAACAAGAACAAAACAGAACAACGUCUGCAGGUCCGAUUAGCACUCUGGUGUGAAAACAAUUUAAUGCCUCCAUGGUUCCUGCUGCUCUUCAUACAGAUGAGGAUCAGCUGCGCGGCUGCACCUGCCUGUGACAUUCUGCAGGAAGCGCAGACAGAGAACACAACACAAACCCGUGCUCAGCUCCGUGGCAUGACAACUGUGUUUUGCUUUUUUUAAAUGGCAUAACUCUCUUGGAGGAACUCUACCAGCCCAACAAAUCUGCUGCAAAGGACACAGACCAGCUCUAUGUGAUGCUGAAAUGGAUUGUUCUGUUGCAGCGAUUCGUCCGAUGUUUUCUGCAAAUCUGGUGCCUCUUAGACUGAAUGAGAAAUGUGGAAAGAAUUCAGACAGGAAUGGUGAGAAAAAUCCCCUUUGUGGCAAGUUUCCCACUAUAUCUGAGAACUAGCAGAAAUUUCAUCACCUCUGUGGGCUCCAUUUUUUUUUUCCUUUUUUUCUCCAUUCCAGCUCAAUUGAAACUCUGCCCAAAUGUUAAUAGUUGCAUUGAUGCUUGAAAUUCUUUCCAUGUUAAAAUCUGACUUUUUGAAUUUGGGUGUUAUGACGGUUACUCAUACACAUACUACAUUUAUAAGACAUACAUUACAUGGAAAAAAUGUAAGGUUUGAAAUAACAAGCAGCAAUUUCAUAAAUUCCUGAAUGAGGGGAUAUUCCCAUUAAUCUAGGGUAAGACCUGGACAUUUGGGACGUGUGUGUGGGUUUGUGUGUGUGUGUGUGUGGAUGGAUUGAUGUGUAACUGAGGGCACAGAUUGUGUUGUAAAGCGCUUAGAGUUGACUAGAAAAAAGCUAUAUAAGUAUAGUCCAUUUGUCAUGUGUCGGUCUGAGUACGUGCUUCGUGUUGAAACUUGUUUAAUGGGAUUAACUAAAUUUGACCCACUGGAGCCUAAAGCUUUACAUACAGUAAAAUACAGAGUGCCCAUUUCACAGAGCAAAAGGAAAUGCAAUAAAAGAUAAUUGUAUGUGCGUAUUUUUA